rnacentral:sRNA from 1 species
UGGGCCUGUCGGGAAUGCAGCUGACUGGGCCACUGCCACGUCAGGCACAUUAUCUGCAACAACUCCCACUUUGUAGAUGAAGAAACUGAGGCACUACAAGUCAAGUCAGUUGCCUAGAGUCCCACAGUGUAGCAACCGGCAAGGCCAGGCCCAGAGUCCAGGGCUCCCAGAGGCCCCAAGGGGAGUCUAAGAUAACACAGGGCAGGAGGGGAGAGCAGUUUGUACUUCCUGCUGUGACCAGGUCAGAGUUUAGAGCAUGAGAGGCCUGCAGGGGUGGGGUGCUGAGAGCAGGUUGCAUAGCUAGUUGUCUGGGACUUGGCUGCAGCUGGGUAAGAUGCACUGCCUUCCUCCAGGACUCAGAGGGUUUGGGAUGAAGGAGGGAGGGAGAAGGGGUGCCAGGGCCUCGGCCUUGCUGAGUGCCCCGUUGGCCCCCUCCCUGCAGCAGUACUUCAUUCUCCUCAUCAUCACGGAUGGGGUCAUCAGUGACAUGGAGGAGACGCGGCAUGCCGUGGUGCAGGCUUCCAAGCUGCCCAUGUCCAUCAUCAUCGUGGGCGUGGGCAAUGCGGACUUCGCUGCCAUGGAGUUCCUGGAUGGGGACAGCCGCAUGCUGCGCUCCCACACGGGGGAGGAGGCAGCCCGCGAUAUUGUGCAGUUUGUUCCCUUUCGAGAGUUCCGCAACGCAGCAAAAGAGACCUUGGCCAAAGCUGUGCUGGCGGAGCUGCCCCAACAAGUUGUGCAGUAUUUCAAGCAUAAAAACCUGCCCCCCACCAACUCGGAGCCCGCCUGAGCUCCAAUGCCCAGCAGCAGCAUGUCAGCUGAGCCUCCUGCCCUCCCCCAGGAGCAUGCACGCUCACCCUGCUUCCUUGUGGGUGGCCUUUUUUUACCGAUCCACAUUUUU